rnacentral:rRNA from 1 species
AGUGAACGCUGGCGGUAGGCCUAACACAUGCAAGUCGAACGGCAGCACAGGAGAGCUUGCUCUCUGGGUGGCGAGUGGCGGACGGGUGAGGAAUACAUCGGAAUCUACCUUUUCGUGGGGGAUAACGUAGGGAAACUUACGCUAAUACCGCAUACGACCUUCGGGUGAAAGCAGGGGACCUUCGGGCCUUGCGCGGAUAGAUGAGCCGACGUCGGAUUAGCUAGUUGGCGGGGUAAAGGCCCACCAAGGCGACGAUCCGUAGCUGGUCUGAGAGCAUGAUCAGCCACACUGGAACUGAGACACGGUCCAGACUCCUACGGGAGGCAGUAGUGGGGAAUAUUGGACAAUGGGCGCAAGCCUGAUCCAGCCAUACCGCGUGGGUGAAGAAGGCCUUCGGGUUGUAAAGCCCUUCUGUUGGGAAAGAAAUCCAGCUGGCUAAUACCCGGUUGGGAUGACGGUACCCAAAGAAUAAGCACCGGCUAACUUCGUGCCAGCCGCCGCCGUAA